rnacentral:rRNA from 1 species
UUGCUCUUCAACGAGGAAUACCUAGUAAGCGUGAGUCAUCAGCUCGCGUUGAUUACGUCCCUGCCCUUUGUACACACCGCCCGUCGCUACUACCGAUUGAAUGGCUUAGUGAGGUCUCCGGAUUGGCUUUGGGGAGCCGGCAACGGCACCCUAUUGCUGAGAAGCUGAUCAAACUUGGUCAUUUAGAGGAAGUAAAAGUCGUAACAAGGUUUCCGUAGGUGAACCUGCGGAAGGAUCAUUAAUGAGUUUGAAUGGGUUGUUGCUGGCCUUUCGAGGCAAUGUGCACGCCUUUCUCAAUCCAACCAACACCUGUGAACUUAUGGGGAAGAUGAAGAGUGACGCUGGAUAACGGCUGAUCUCUAAGUCCUCUCUUCUUUACACCAAACUAAAGUUAUAGAACGUCCUUUGCUUAAUGCAAAACAAAUACAACUUUCAACAACGGAUCUCUUGGCUCUCGCAUCGAUGAAGAACGCAGCGAAAUGCGAUAAGUAAUGUGAAUUGCAGAAUUCAGUGAAUCAUCGAAUCUUUGAACGCACCUUGCACUCCUUGGUAUUCCGAGGAGUAUGCCUGUUUGAGUGUCAUGAAAUCAUCAACUUCAUAGUUUUGUUACUGUGAAGCUUGGACUUGGAAGCUGCUGGCUCUGUCGGCUCUUCUUAAAUAUAUUAGCUGCUUGUCCGUGGGUUGGCUCAGAGUGUGAUAAGUAUCUGCACUUGGUGGCUGCUCGCUUUGGAUGUGGCUUCUAAUCGUCUUUGGACAAUUUUUAAGAUCUGACCUCAAAUCAGGUAGGACUACCCGCUGAACUUAAGCAUAUCAAUAAGCGGAGGA